UCAUUUUCUUAUUCAAACCUGCUGCUGCUGAUAUGGGAUUCAUCCAUCUAAAAAUUGCUUUCGUUUUGCCCCUGCAACUAUUCAGGUGUGUGGAUAUUUGCUUGGAAAAUCAUAAUUGAAAUGAUAGGGGCGAGGCGAGUUGAGAAGAUAUCAGGGCUGAUGGGAAGCAGAGCACCUGUACUAUAUAGGAAGCCAUAGUCCUACAGAUAAGCAGAGCAUGUCUUCGACUUAUCCUUACAGCUCCAAUUGCAGUCAUCGUCCCACAACUUAGCUGCUUAUUUUUCAUAGUCUACACUAUAUGCUACACUCCAGGUCUUAAGAAAUCUUCCGGCAUAUGUGAAGAUAGUGGAGGUUGGGCCAUGGGAUGGGUUGCAAAACGAAAAGGAAAUCGUACCAAUCACCUUAAAGGAAUAAAGGUCCAGUUAAUUAAAAUGCUGGUUGCUUCAGGGUUGAAUGUCGUCGAGACCACGAGUUUUGUCUCACCGAAAUGGGUUCCACAGCUGGCAGACGCAAAGGAUGUAAUGGAUGCAAUCCAGAAUAUUCAAGGAGCCUGAUUUCCAGUGUUAACUCCAAACCAUAAACUGCUGUUUUGGAUGGAGCCAAGGAAGUGGCUGUCUUUGCCUCAGCUUCCGAGUCUUUUUCCAAGUCAAACAUAAAUUGCAGUAUCGAAGAUAGUCUUGAUCAUUCUAGAGAUGUUGCUUCUGCUGCCAGAGAGCUCUCACUUCCAGUUCGAGGGUAUAUAUCAUGCGUAGUUGGUUGCCCAGUGGAAGGAAUGGUGCCUCCAUCGAAAGUAGCUUACGUAGCUAAACGGCUCUUUGGGUUGCUCAGAAAUUUUCCUUGGUGAUACAAUCGGUGUUGGUACACCCGGUAAGUUUUACUGUUACCUUCUGCUAGUCUUUUCUGUUUUUACAUACACCAUUCAUUGAUGGAGAUUAGUUGAAGGAGACACAUAUCUAGAUAAACAUAUCCGUUCUAGUCGUGAGACAAAUGUGGAUGGUAACGUAGACAUGUUUUGGUUUCUUUUUUAUCGGAUGUGACACAUAAGAUUGCUCUUCUCAUUUGGAAAAACAUU